AGUGGUAAUGGUAGGAUGUGUGGUAGUUGCAUGUUUAGUUUAUUAAGAAAUUGCCAAGCUCUUUUCCAGAGCAGCUGUACCAUUUGCAUUUCUACUAGCAAU
rnacentral:pre_miRNA from 1 species